CUGCACUACUGAGAUACUGCGACAUAAUGCGCUAGGUUCCCUGAUGGUGCAACGCUCUAAGAGUCUAAGAAAGUUGUAAUAACAAGGCUUAUCUACACAAUGUGACGGCAGCAGGCUUACUUGAAUGCUAACCCUUCACGCACAUUACCCUCAAAACAUCGCGCCUUAAUACCCAUUACCUACAGCACAUCCCUGAUAUCUGUUAGAACCAAACUAUAGCAUAUCAUAUGCUGCAUUAAAUUCAAUGCCUGUAACACGCUCACAGGGUCGCAUAUACUGGCAAAUAGAAUCACAGGAUCAUUAAGCCCCGCUAACAUCAACAGCUACGAGGCGCAAGGCCCGCGUAUAGCCAAGUUACUUGCUGACACAUGUAGACACCAGAUUACAUAUAGGCUUCAUAUGAUUAUGGUGAACCUAUAGAGUUAUAAGACUUAGCCUGGUACAGUCAUAAAUGUGAUUACAGAAGGUUAAUGCCUGCUGAUAAUAAUUCUGAUGAAAAUAAUAAGCCUCUGCGUAGGCAACUGUAAGCUUCUCAUCAUUGUCGAACUGUGCCUGAAUUGUUU